AUUGAACGCUGGCGGCAGGCUUAACACAUGCAAGUCGAGCGGAGAUGAGGUGCUUGCACCUUAUCUUAGCGGCGGACGGGUGAGUAAUGCUUAGGAAUCUGCCUAUUAGUGGGGGACAACAUUCCGAAAGGAAUGCUAAUACCGCAUACGCCCUAUGGGGGAAAGCAGGGGAUCUUCGGACCUUGCGCUAAUAGAUGAGCCUAAGUCGGAUUAGCUAGUUGGUGGGGUAAAGGCCUACCAAGGCGACGAUCUGUAGCGGGUCUGAGAGGAGGAUCGGCCACACUGGGACUGAGACACGGCCCAGACUCCUACGGGAGGCAGCAGUGGGGAAUAUUGGACAAUAGGCGGAAGCCUGAUCCAGCCAUGCCGCGUGUGUGAAGAAGGCCUUUUGGUUGUAAAGCACUUUAAGCGAGGAGGAGGCUACCUGGAUUAAUACUCUAGGAUAGUGGACGUUACUCGCAGAAUAAGCACCGGCUAACUCUGUGCCAGCAGCCGCGGUAA
rnacentral:rRNA from 1 species